GAUGAAGAACGUAGCGAAAUGCGAUAAGUAAUGUGAAUUGCAGAAUUCAGUGAAUCAUCGAAUCUUUGAACACACAUUGCGCCCGCCAGUAUUCUGGCGGGCAUGCCUGUUCGAGCGUCAUUUCAACCCUCAGGCCCCCAGUGCCUGGUGUUGGGGAUCGGCCCAGCCUUCCUGUAAGGCCGCCGGCCCCGAAAUCUAGUGGCGGUCUCGCUGUAGUCCUCCUCUGCGUAGUAGCACACCCUCGCAGUUGGAACGCGGCGGUGGCCAUGCCGUUAAACACCCCACUUCUGAAAGUUGACCUCGGAUCAGGUAGGAAUACCCGCUGAACUUAAGCAUAUCAAUAAGCGGAGGA
rnacentral:misc_RNA from 1 species